GAUGAACGCUGGCGGCAUGCCUAAUACAUGCAAGUCGAACGAGAGGAAGGAAAGCUUGCUUUUCUGAAUCUAGUGGCGAACGGGUGAAUAACACGUAGGUAACCUGCCCAUGUGCCCGGGAUAACUUCUGGAAACGGAUGCUAAAACCGGAUAGGUAGCAGACAAGCAUUUGACUGCUAUUAAAGUGGCUAAGGCCAUGAACAUGGAUGGACCUGCGGUGCAUUAGCUAGUUGGUGAGGUAACGGCACACCAAGGCGACGAUGCAGAGCCGGCCUGAGAGGGCGGACGGCCACAUUGGGACUGAGACACGGCCCAAACUCCUACGGGAGGCAGCAGUAGGGAAUUUUCGUCAAUGGGGGGAACCCUGAACGAGCAAUGCCGCGUGAGUGAGGAAGGUCUUCGGAUCGUAAAGCUCUGUUGUAAGAGAAAAACGACAUUCAUAGGGAAUGAUGAGUGAGUGAUGGUAUCUUACCAGAAAGUCACGGCUAACUACGUGCCAGCAGCCGCCGUAA
rnacentral:rRNA from 1 species